rnacentral:rRNA from 1 species
AUUGAACGCUGGCGGCAGGCCUAACACAUGCAAGUCGAGCAGCGGCGGACGGGUGAGUAACACGUGAGUAACCUGCCCUCCACUUUGGGAUAACUCCGAGAAAUCGGGGCUAAUACUGGAUAGUGGGGGAUGGGCUCGCGGCCUAUCAGUUUGUUGGUGAGGUAGUGGUCACCAAGGCGUGACGGGUAGCCGGCAUGAGAGGGCGACCGGCCACAAGGGGCCUGAGACACGGCCCAGACUCCUACGGGAGGCAGCAGUGGGGAAUAUUGCACAAUGGGGGAAAGCCUGAUGAAGCGACGCCGCGUGGGGGAUGACGGCCGUCGGGUUGUAAACCUCUUUAAGCAAGGAAGCGGUACUUGCAGAAGAAGCGCCGGCUAACUACGUGCCAGCAGCCGCGGUAAUAC